rnacentral:rRNA from 1 species
GGGCCCGCACAAGCGGUGGAGCAUGUGGUUUAAUUCGAUGAUACGCGAGGAACCUUACCAGGGCUUAAAUGCAGAACGACAGAGGUGGAAACACCUCCUUCUUCGGACGGUCUGCAAGGUGCUGCAUGGUUGUCGUCAGCUCGUGCUGUGAAGUGUCGGGUUAAGUCCCAUAACGAGCGCAACCCCUAUUUCUAGUUGCCAGCGAGUAAUGUCGGGAACUCUAACGAAACUGCCAGUGCAAACUGUGAGGAAGGUGGGAUGACGUCAAUCAUCACGGCCCUUACGUCCUGGGCUACACACGUGCUACAAUGGCCGGUACAGAGAGCAGCAAGUUCGCGAGGACAAGCAAUCCAUAAACCGUGGCUCAG